AAUGGGCGGAAGCCUGAUCCAGCCAUCCCGCGUGUAGGAUGACUGCCUAUGGGUUGUAAACUACUUUUGUACGAGAAGAACCUGUUCAUUUAUGAGCAGUUGACGGUAUCGUAAGAAUAAGCACCGGCUAACUCCGUGCCAGCAGCCGCGGUAAUACGGAGGGUGCAAGCGUUAUCCGGAAUCACUGGGUUUAAAGGGUGCGUAGGCGGUUGAAUAAGUCAGAGGUGAAAGGUUGUCGCUUAACGAUAAAAUGGCCUUUGAUACUGUUUAACUAGAAUUAGGUUGAGGUAGGCGGAAUGCGUCAUGUAGCGGUGAAAUGCAUAGAUAUGACGUAGAACACCGAUUGCGAAGGCAGCUUACUGGAUCUAUAUUGACGCUGAGGCACGAAAGCGUGGGGAGCGAACAGGAUU
rnacentral:rRNA from 1 species